UCGAAUCAACCAUUUGAGUUUGAUGACGAAAAACCAACUUUUCAGAAAAUAAAAUUUUUUACAUCCAGUUGAGUAUUUUCAAGAGGGGUAUCUAGGUUUUGCUAACUUCUACGCCAGGAUGACUGUGUUAUCAGUUAGGUUUAAUACACUAGGCCUGGCUUUUGGUAAGAUGUACUGUAUGAUCAAAGCAGACCCAAAACGUUCUUGUAGAAGGCUUAUAUUUUUUUCUGUUUGGAUGUAAAAGGAUUCUCUUAACUCCUUAGAUGUAGAAAACUGAUCCUUUCUGCAUAACACUAAUCCAAUUUGUUGUAUGGUCUUCUUUGGUACGAUGGACUAUUGCUGACAGCGGACUUCUGGUGAGAGACAGCUAUAAUUAGGUUUCACUGAACUGAACACACUGCAUGUGAACGUGAAACUAAGAAGUUUGGAAUGUUUUGACGUGACACCUACAUUCUCGGUGCUCAAAGAUCUUCAUUUUAUAAUUAACGUUUCAGGGAUUUGGUUGUUUGCUAUUUUUGUACUCUUUUGUAUAUAUAUAUAUUUAUCUUCAAAAUCUUAACCUCUUUAUUUAUAUAUAAAACAAAAACUUUGCUUAACAGAAUUGGAAACACAUUUGUAUUGUCUACUUCAGAGGUCAGUAAGUAGAAGAAAAAUGAUUUCGUAUCCUAAUUAAUAAUAUCUUUAUACAAUCAGUCCAACUGUAUUAUUCAGAUUACACUCUUAUUAUAAAUCAGUUUAAAUAUACUGUAACACAGUCAGUUUACACCAAACCCACACAGUCAGUUUAAAUAUACAUUAAUACAAUCAGUUUACACCAAACUCAUACAGUUUAAAUAUACAUUAAUACAAUCAGUUUACACCAAA